rnacentral:lncRNA from 1 species
CUCCUGAAGGACAGGAGCUCAAAUGCUGAUGUGUUCGAACCGUUCUCACUCUUCCUCAGAUUUACACGUAAUGUAGCUCAAAACAAAUUGCCAGAAGGAUAGGAUGGCUAUUCCUGUGGCCCAGAUGGGGCUCAAGGAGGGCGCGUCCUGUCGGUGGUCACUCAGCUGGUAAACGUGGAACAGGAACCCCAACUUGCAGCUCUCCCCAGCAGGACCCCACUCUCCCUCCCUUCUGGAAAGGACACCUUGCAUCAUUGCAGAGGAAUUUAAUGUCACGUGGGCCAUUUUGCUUUCUCCUAAAUGAGUGCAGCCAUCAAGACUUGACUGUGACAUGAAUUUGGGAUGGGGCGUGAAUCCCGUCCGUGUUCUGUGUUUCGGAGUGAGUUCUCAGGCCCUUCCUGGCAAUCUUUCUGAGCAUUGGAACAAAAGGUAAUCACAUCCCCGGGGCCGGGCACAGCUUUGCUCUGACCUCGGAGCUAAGGCGCUUGCAGCCCUCUCCCCAGGACGCAGCCGCAGGUAUGUGCACCCUGUGGAGCACAGGCCCCGAGGCAGACAUUAUGAAGGCCCAGCACUCCGGUGCCCGUGCAUUAAAGGGCUGGGCUUGCAGUGGGAGCAGUGGAGUGAGGAAACUUGGCUUGUAGGGGAUCCGUGCGUGGGGAGCCCCACGUUCGAGGUCACACCUUGCAGCAGCCACAUUGAAAAAGUCCAAGGAAACAGAAAGUGGCUCAGGAGAAGACACAACAGUGUCUGCUACAGAGGGAAGAAAAGUGGCUCAUCCCAAGCUGGUCAGUGCACAGCCGGGACGAAACUCGGUCCCCUGUAUCCCAGUCUGCUGUCACUGUGGCCUCUCAAACUGAGCGGACCCAGCAAAGACUCGAAGGGUCAAUGGGCCUUCCUGAGAGUGGGGCCCACGGAGGGGCUGGGCCUGCUGCUCUGAAGCCGGGACCAUGGGGCAUCGGGCAGAGCUAUCAUGGGACCCGAGGCCAGGCCUUUCUGAGGACGUGGGGCCUCGGGGCCUGGGAUGCACAGGUGGCCCCUUCCUGGAGGCUCUGGGCUCGUCCAUCAACAGACCUUUGAAGCAUCUGUGAGCGUGAGUUGUUACUUAGUAUCAUAAGAAUUAAUGAUAAUUUUAGUGAUUGCUCCUAGAUAGGCGCCACUCUAAGGCAUUAUUUUAUUUAGCGUUUAGAACUCCCUUCUGACAUCGGAACGAUUUCUGUCUUCAUUGAACAGGGCGUUGGGGGAGGAAGGUCAGAGCCCAAAGUCAGAGCUCGGAAGGUGAGGGGCCGACUCGCCACCUUGCGGAGAGCCGUGGGGAGGAGGGCGGGGGACACAGGGCUCCGAGACCUGCGCUGGGUCUGGGGACCCCCUGGGCAGCCUGUUGGUGGAGAGUGCCCUGGAGCCAGGCCAGGCCCAGCGGGGAGGGAGAGAGCGCGUUCCAGGUCGGGGUUUACAGCAGGAGCACAGGCCCCGGGGUGCAGGAUGUGUUUGGAAAAGAAACAAAUGCCUCUUUGGAGUUGGCUCCAAAGUUUGUCUGCAAAGCUGUUUUGCUCUUUGAAGGGAAAUAAGAUCACUUAAGGUUUCCGCAACUUUAUUUUUUACAGAAAAAGAAAAUAAAUACGACUAUUAUUAUUCCUAUCCUUCCCA